CCUGCUGUACGACCAGCAGUAGCCUAGGAAGACAUGCGUCACUGGUAACGGUGGGGUGUGAAGCUCUUCUAACAACGUAGCCCCCGGAAGUUUCGGGCACGUGAACGCCGCGAGGCGCAGCGUGGAGGCCCCCCAGCAGCGGGGGGCGCGGAGC
rnacentral:ncRNA from 1 species